UCAAGUAUCAUUAGCCCCACUUUAGAGAGCUGGAGACUGAGGCCCAGGAGUUUAAGUGGCAGGGCUGGGCCUGGGCCCCCGGCCAAGGGUCCGUCAGCAAGGGCUGCUCCUGUCACCGUCGUCAGUCUCCAGUAGAUCCCCUGAGAAGGCUGUGAGCCGGCUUUCAGGGGUGGGCUCAGGGCCCGGGGCCGGGAGGAAGGAAGCUGCUGAGUAGUGAGGGGCAGUGAGCAGGUCCCCUCCCUCUCCUCCUUUCACGGUCGGUCAGUUUCCUCGAGGAGGGGCUUCUAAACGCUGUCCCUGUUCUCUGCACACGCAGGUGCACACGCACACAUACACACCUGUUCACGCUUUAUCCCUUUUGGUUCGGGGUCUGUCCCCAGCAAAUCAUUAACCUUGUUCUGGUGGAGGCUCUGACGGGAGUCGUUUAUCUGCUGAUCCUGUGAGUUGACUGGGCUCCAGGGACGUUCUUCCGGGCUGGGCUGCCGUCACGGGUGAGCCUGAGCACUCCGGAGCCCCCGGGAUGCCUUGCUCACGGAGCCGGCAUUCGAUGCUGACCGGGGAGGCUUGUUUCUGCCAGGGAGUGUCCUCAGAGAGGUCCUUUCAAGAGGGAGGAAGUAGCCAUGGGAUGUGGCUGACCCACAGCGUGCCUCUCUCCGCCUUCUCCUGUCCAUUCCCUUCCAGGCCUCUGACCAUUCCUCUUCACCAGCCCCCUCUUCCUUGCUUUGUCCUUGGCUCUUUCCUCUCUUGAGCCUGCACAUGACCUAGAGGUCACAGCCACCCUGUGAUGCCGAUACCUCAUUUGGGCUGAGGUCCUGAGAGCCGGCCCAGGGUCUUCAACCUUCUCUCCAUGUUCCCGACAGGAGGCAGAGUUAAGAAUUCCCAAGGGCCAUCUCGCUCGUCCUGCCCAGAGGAGGACUUGUCUUCCUUCCCCAGCCUUCAUGCUCCUUGUGCAGUCCCCAACUUGGUGAGCAGACCCACCCCAUCCAUGGCCGUGGACUUCCGACCCCCCCAGGUGCCCUCGCACCAGCUCUCCUGGGAGAUACAACAUGCACCACCUGGGUAAGCAGGAAAAAACACCCAGAGGUCGUUUAAAACAAAGUGAAAGGGAGGGGUGAGCACAUCUCGAGGGUUCUGUUUCUUUAGAGGGAAAGCGGAGAGCCGGUUGUUUAAAGCAGAGAUCUGGGAGCAGUCCCAGCUUAAUUGGAAAACCUCAUUCAGACGGACUGGAGAGGCCUCAGGAAUGGCAAACAGCUUCUCCCUGCUUGGAGGAAUUUUCUGGAAACCAUAAUGGCCGUUCUUCCCAACCACAGGCUGGUCUUUCUGGCAGAAUUAGCCUGUUCCGACAGGUGUAAAGCGAUACGUCAUUGUGGCUCGAAUCUGCGUGUCCCCGAUGAGGAGAGAUGCUGAGCAUCUUCUCAUGUGUCUGUUGGCAUCUGGACGUCUUCUUUGGAAAAAUGUCUACUCAGAGUGCAGGGGCCGUUCUGGAGGAAAGGGAGCCAACAGACUGAUCCAGAGAAAAAGUGCUUCUCCAGGUGAGCACCUUUUCGAGGGAUGUCCUCUACGACAGCCUGGAAUGACGCCGGCACAGCUUCGUCCUAUUUGGUUUUGGAGGUGACCCUGCAUCCAUCUGUGGGCCGCUCACGACCGCCAGCUCCCCGAACAGGCAGCCACACUCCAGGGUCCCUCUGCUCACUUCAGCGAGGUGAGGAAGAGAAGGCUGUGUGCGUCGACGGUUCUCCCACGUGUCAGGGCUAGGAUGCCAGUUGCAUGCCCGCUGGGUGUGAGGACAGGACGCUGAGCAGCAGGAGGGGGAGUGGGAUCCCUGGGACAUGCUUUCUGUGUGGUCCCCGGGCCCCCAGAAGCUUGAACGGAGCGGGCGGCCGUGUUGAAGUUGGGCACAUGCAACCAUGCUCUGCGUCUGUGGCCUCCCCCACAAGCCGAGUGCCACGUGGGCCACCAGCGAGCCCAGAGACCUGGGCUGAACCCUUUGUUCUCUGGGCCUCAGUUGACCCACCUGGGAAAUGAGGGGCCGGCUUCCAUCCCUGCUCCCGAUUCAGGAGCCCCAAAGACCGUGGAUCACCUACGACUCUGCAGGUCGAAGUUCCCUUCUGCUUAGAGUUUAUCGGUGCUGCCUUGGAAACGAAGCCAAGGUCACCUUCGCAACUGGAGUCCUGGGUGGGUACACUGUCCAGGGCCGCGUGCUGUGCUGGACCCCAGUCACCACUGGUUUCAAGUGUAGGUUUUAUUGUCAUUCAAGUAUGGUGACCAACAGAUCAGGGGUCAACUGCCAUCAGGAAGGUAGUUUGUGAUUCGUAGAUCCCAAGAGGCGGGGGCACGCCAUGCCCUGCAGGGCCACGGGGGGAGCACCAGGGUCGGUCAUGGGGCAGAGGGACAGACGGGAAGGCGGGAUCCACAGCCUGCCUUGUGGUUUUCACGGGAAAGAAAGGGCUUGGGAUGGGCGAGUUGGAAUCAUGGACUCCAGGGUGUCGGGGUGGCCUCUCACUGUCUGGUCCCUGGCCCUGGGGUGAUCGGGACAGGGCAGUAUUGGCCCCAAGUACGAAGAGGAUGGUUAGGGUGCAUGUUCUGGGUUGGUUUAUAUAUGAAAGACGGGCUCUCUGGGAGCAGAGUGGUUUGCUCCUUCUGGAAGUUCCAGCCCUGGGAGGGGCCCUGGGUACCAGCGCACCAAGAACAUAGAACAGGACAGAGUUAAUGUGGCACGUAACAAAAUGUGUGCUGCACGUAAUUUGUCAUUUUUAAAAAAUAAUAGACUUUAUUUUUUAGAGCGGUUUUAGAAAGAUUGAGCAGAAAGUAUAGAGUUCCCGCAUACCCUCCAUUUCCAGCAUGCACACACACACACACAGUCACACACGCGCACACAUGCACGCGCACGCACGCACACUCACACGCACGCGCACGCCGUUUCUCCCAUUAUCAGCAUCUCGCAGGUGGGCCGUGCAUUUCUUGUAACUGAACCAGUGUCGCCACACC